rnacentral:rRNA from 1 species
CCUACGGGAGGCAGCAGUGGGGAAUAUUGGGCAAUGGAGGAAACUCUGACCCAGCAACGCCGCGUGAAGGAUGAAGGUUUUCGGAUUGUAAACUUCUUUUAUAUGGGAAUAAAAUGUUCCACGUGUGGGAUUUUGUAUGUACCAUAUGAAUAAGGAUCGGCUAACUCCGUGCCAGCAGCCGCGGUAAUACGGAGGAUCCGAGCGUUAUCCGGAUUUAUUGGGUUUAAAGGGAGCGUAGGUGGUUUGUUAAGUCAGUUGUGAAAGUUUGCGGCUCAACCGUAAAAUUGCAGUUGAAACUGGCAGUCUUGAGUACAGUAGAGGUGGGCGGAAUUCGUGGUGUAGCGGUGAAAUGCUUAGAUAUCACGAAGAACUCCGAUUGCGAAGGCAGCUCACUGGACUGCAACUGACACUGAGGCUCGAAAGUGUGGGUAUCAAACAGGAUUAGAUACCCCAGUAGUC